rnacentral:rRNA from 1 species
AUUGAACGCUGGCGGCAGGCCUAACACAUGCAAGUCGAGCGAGCGGCGGACGGGUGAGUAAUGUAUGGGGACUGCCCGCUAGAGGGGGGUAACUACUGGAAAAGGUAGCUAAUACCGCAUCCUAUCGGAUAACCCAUAUGGGAUUAGCUAGUAGGUGAGGUAAUGGCUCACCUAGGCGACGAUCCCUAGCUGGUCUGAGAGGAUGAUCAGCCACACUGGGACUGAGACACGGCCCAGACUCCUACGGAGGCAGCAGUGGGGAAUAUUGCACAAUGGGCGCAAGCCUGAUCCAGCCAUGCCGCGUGUGUGAAGAAGGUCUUCGGAUUGUAAAGCACUUUAAGUUGGGAGGCGUUACCAACAGAAUAAGCACCGGCUAACUUCGUGCCAGCAGCCGCGGUAAUUC